rnacentral:rRNA from 2 species
UGAGGAAUAUUGGUCAAUGGUCGGAAGACUGAACCAGCCAAGUAGCGUGAAGGAUGAAGGUUCUAUGGAUUGUAAACUUCUUUUAUACGGGAAUAAAACCUCCCACGUGUGGGAGCUUGUAUGUACCGUAUGAAUAAGCAUCGGCUAACUCCGUGCCAGCAGCCGCGGUAAUACGGAGGAUGCGAGCGUUAUCCGGAUUUAUUGGGUUUAAAGGGAGCGUAGACGGGAGAUUAAGUCAGUUGUGAAAGGCUGCGGCUCAACCGCAGCACUGCAGUUGAUACUGGUUUCCUUGAGUGCGGUUGAGGUGUAUGGAAUUCGUGGUGUAGCGGUGAAAUGCUUAGAUAUCACGAAGAACUCCGAUUGCGAAGGCAGUACACUAAGCCGUAACUGACGUUGAGGCUCGAAAGUGUGGGUAUCAAACAGG